rnacentral:lncRNA from 1 species
GAGUAUUUAAUUUAAUUUACAGUAACAAGUGGGCCCAUGAACGACUAAAAGUAUUAAAAUCAGUAAACCUAUAGUUUUUGAGGAAGUAAAGCCAACUGUAGCCUUCGACGAUAUCAGCUAUCUACAGCCUAUACUAAGCCUGAAAUGGGUGAAAAGAAUGGUGGUGAGAUUAUAUAAUCCCAGUGAGUAUACAGAUACCAUCUAAAAUAUCUAAAGCUGAGUAAAUGGAGACAGAUAAAAUAGUUUGAUAUACUGCAAUUCAUCACCUUUCAACUCGUUUCAAUCAAAUAAAAUCAAUUCAUAUAAAUCGAGUAAUCAACAUGGCUUAUGAAUUUCUUAAGACUUUGGCUCGUGCCAAAAAUCAUUUUCAUACCUAGUUAUCAAGGAUGCCUUGAUCGAGGGCUAUCCCAACCGAGUCCGCCAAGGCUGUUAAAAAGUUAUAUAUGCAUAAAUCCUAUUUUAUUAUGAAAACAUAGCCGUUCCUUGGAGUUAGCGGAGUUCAUCAUCACGAGGUGGUUUGGCGUGAAGUGAACUCUAAAGUUAUACCUCGGGAGUUACCCUACUCGCCUCUCCAACCGAGGUAAAAUAUGACUAGGUUCCGUGCCCCUCUAAUAGGCUAGUCCACAGAACCAGCCCACUGCAGCAAGCUAAACCCACCAUACAAUAAAAAUUCAACAGCAUGAUAUGGCAAUUUUAUCAUUAUCCAGCCUAUCAAGCCAAACAACAGUUUAUACAUUUCAACACAAAUACCAAUUCAGCCAUUCAUGCCAAUAUUGUCAUAAGCCAAUCAAUUAGAACCAUAAAUUCACAAUACAUCAAAUGGUCUCCAAUUACUCUAUUUGCAAAGCCAUCAUUCAAUUUUAAAACAAUUUUAUGAAAUCAUUUUAUUUAAACCCAUUUUGUUUAUAAAACCUAAAAAUUAACCAUUUAAACUCAUUUUUCCAUAAAAUUCACAAAAUCGGAUAAAAACCACUCUAGAUAAUAAAGACGAUAAAAGGGUUACUCACAAUGUCUAGAGUGCGAAUUUUUGAAGUACUCUGACUACUGGUCCUCGGAUGCAAUUUUCUUGCCUUUAUCGGAG